AAACACAGAGGUAAAAUUUGGUUUUGGUCUGGGAAUUGAGCGUUUGGGAAAAAAAUACAAGGCAGAGGAUAUAUAAAUUCUAGAGAAUUUAGAGAUAAUUUAAGAACAAAAGAGGAAUCAAAGAUAGCUAGCUGCGAAACUAACAACAAAGAAAGAUGAAUGAGAAGUUCAGUUUUUUUGAACUAUAAGAGAAGAUGCUCUGGUUGAACGAGAAACAGGGGAAAUGAAUUAAACGAGCCAAAUUUAAUCAAACUGAAAGAAAUUGAGAUCUGGGUAUUGGAAAGACUAGGUUUUUAAAGCUGGGUUUUGAAUUUCGUGGAAUUUGGUGAAGCAGAAUUAAAGAAUUGGAGCGUCUAAAUUUCAAAUAAACUGACUCUUCCUCUCUCUCUCUCCCUCCCAUUUAUUAUUAUUUUUUUCUUUGAGUUCCCUCUCUGACAUUGAUCUCUACAUGUUUUUUUCUCUCUUCUUUGGUCCGGACAAUGGUUGAACUUUAUGCAGAUGAAGUAGUCCCUAAUGGGUUCCAGUUUCUCCUCAUGUUUUCACCGUUGAUGGCUCAAAAUUUCAAAAUCAUAUGGAAUUUUUUUUAAUCAAACGGUGGAUACAUGACGAUAAAGAUCUUCAUAAUUAAAUUCAGUUUUGGGGUUUAUUUAAAAAAAGUCUCUUUGGUCAAUGAAGUCAGCUAUAUUGAAGUCUUUAGCCAAAAGAGGCCGUGUCUUGUGGGGUGCCUUAAAACUCUUUUUGUUUGUAACUUUAUUUUCCUUAAAUUCCCUCUUUAUUUUGAGCCUCAUAUUGGAAUAUGAACUAACAAUCCAAUUAGACACGCAAAUUGAGACUUUGGAGCUUAAUUCAACCCUUCAUAUCAUACAAUAUUAGUAAGGCCUCUUGUCGUUUAGCAUUUGUAACAUCAACUCAGUAGGUAAAGAUAAGCUUAUGGUGUUGUUAAUGGGAUAAGUAUUUAAAUCUUUUACACAAAAAAAUAAUUAAAAAAAUCUACAAAUUAGAACUCUUCUUCUUCUUUUUUUUUUUUUUUGUUCCCCUGCUUUAUUCAGUCUGUUUAUUUGUGGGAUUGCUUUGUCUGCGGUUCAUGGACGGCACAUCAUGACAGAUAGGGUUUGCUGCACUUACUAGAAAUCUAAUAGGUCGCAUUCCAUAAAUUACUGCUUCAUUUUUUUUCAUGCUUUCAAGGCACUCUCUUGAAAGUUGUAAGCAUUGUCUAAAAGCCCUCAAGUUUUGUAUUUGUUUAAUCCAUCAAACUAUGCGGGCCAAAAAUUUGUGCACUAUAUGAUAAGAUUUAGAAGAUUCUUUCAAUUGAAUUUGGUUAGGGAUUAGGAUUAGGAUUAGCUUUAUCAGUUGAAUCCCUUAUUCUUUAAGUCUCCCCAACUCAUUAAUAGUCGCUGUUAAACAUUUAUAGCACAUAGCUUUUAAUUGAUGGAUGAAAUAAAUACAGAUAGAAACACCAAAAACCUGGAUUUUUUUCCUUGUCAUUUUAUGCAAAUGAGAAGAUCAAGUUAAAAAGAUUUGAAUUGUUGAAUGAAAUAAACUUUAUUAACCCAUAAGUCCAUAUUAAGCAACCUUCAAUAGCUAAUGAUUUUUCUUGUUUCUUUCUGGGUUUUGAUUGUUAAGUAUAAUUAUGGAGGGGGGGGGGGGAAUGACACCAUAACAAACACUUAAAGUAAUUGCUUAGGAAGAUUCUUGGAGCUUCUGUCAAAAGAUAAUCAAACUUUACUUCAAGCUUUAUUGACAUUACAUAAUCAUUAUUACAGUACUAGAAGAAGCUAUCUUUAUCUUUAACUCAAAGAGACUUGGUUUCAUUAGUUUUACUUUUAUCUUUUCUAAUUUGUGUUCAAUAGUUUCACUGUCUCAGUCAUGUUUCUGAUUUUUCUCUUCUUUUAAUUGCUGGAAACUACAACCAGCACUGUAAGAAACUCAUGUUAUACCAUUAUUUUACGUUGAAAAUACGCAAAAGUACAAAUGUUUGCGCCAUUUUUCCUGUUCUGAAACUUACUUCAAUUCUGUAUCUUCCUUUUUUUCAGGAACUUUGAAUCGCAAAGUACAAUCUGGAAAUUAGUUUUUGACAGUGUUGUACUGUCGCGGAUUGCCCAAAAAAAACGACACUAAAAUGACUUACCGGUGGCAGCUUCACUCAGCUGGCUGGUCCCCAUUUGGUUCCAAUUUCAUUGAUGCCAAGCCCACAAGGUAUAUUUAUGUUACUCUAACACCAAGUCCAACUCUGAGAAAAUGGAAAUUUUUAGUUUUGAUCCAUUUGUUAUGCUUACAUUUGAAUUUUUUUUUAUAUUUUAAUUUGAUAUAAUUUGAUCUCUACUUUUACAAUAACAUGAAUUAGUAAAAAAAGAAUAAUAUUCUUAAUUAUUUUUUUAAAUUGUUGAAGUGAAUUUUUUUUUAAAUACCUCUUUAACACACACAUAUAAAAUCUAUCACGAUAUGAUAAAUUAGAACGAUAUUAUAAAAAUAGAGGAAUUAAAUUAUAUUAAAUUAAAGUAUAAAUAUUAAAAUUAAAAUUUAAAUAUAGUAGAGGAACCAUUAACCACAAUUUAACAUACAAUAAUCUAUACAUAAUACUAUCAAUAUUCAUUUGAUUUAAUAAAUAAUCAUUUUUUUGAAUUUAUUUUUAAUUGAAUUUUUAAUUAUAAAAUAAAUAAUUAAAAUAUUUUGGCAAAAAAAUAAUUUCGAUCAUUAUAAUUAAAUAUAUACUAAAAUUUUAAUAAACAUGUAAUAAAUAAUUAUAAUAUAAUUAAAAUUAUAGAAAAUUUUCAGACUCGAAUCCGAAGAUAAAACAUUCUACUCCUAUAUAUAAACAUUGGUGAGAGUGUUUGAAAAAUCAGAAUUGUAUUAAAUUAAUCUAUUUAUUAUUAAAUAGGUCAAUUUCAUUCAUUAUUAUUAAAAAAUUAAAUAAAACUAAAAUUAAAUAAAAUUAACAUUUAUUAUUUUAUCCGUCUAUAACAAUAAAAGAUAUUAAACAUUUUAUAAAAAAAUCCAAACUAGCGUAUUUAAAAGAAAAAAAAAAAUAGAAGAAGACAAUUGACACGUCGUUGAAUAAUUUAAGAUGGUUAGUUACAAAUAUAGACAGUUAAUGGGAAAUCCUUGACAAAUAUGAAGGAAAAGAUUCCAGCAUUGUUUAUUUGUCAACCUAUGUUCCCGGAUUUCUGUUACACUGUCCUUAACUAAUCAACUUGCUUUUUCAUUUGCUUGCAAUAAUUAUUAUCCAUAAUUAGAGUUGUUUUUUUAUCCACUUUAUCAAAAUUUUAGGUUCGUUUGAUUUAAAAAAUAAGUUUAAAAUUUUGUUAAAUUUUAAUUUAGUCCGUCUAUAUUAAUUUAUAUAUAUAUAUAUAUUUAAAUAUAAUACAUUAAAAAUAUUAAAAUAAAUAUUUCUCAACAAAUUUUUAAAAAAACUAUACUUAAAUAAUAUUAAGAUAGAUGCAACUUAACAAGCAAAUACCUUUAAAAUAGUAACAAACUUAAUAAUAAAACAAGAUUUAUACAAUAUUCAAAAUAGUAGGAAAAUAACAAAAAAAAACAUCAAGACAGUAAAAAAAAUAACAUUUUGUAAAUUAAAGUCAAGUCAGGUCGGGUUCAAGCAAAAAAGUCUUACCCAAGACUCGACCCAUUUUUUAAAUGAGUCUUUUUUUUUUUACCCAUACUCAUUUUUCAAAUCUAUAUUUUUACUCAAAUCCUUCUACCUUUUCGGACGGAUCUCGUGCCGGACCAUCCAUAAUUCAUCCAAAUAAUAGAAGAGAAAAAAAAAAAAAACUCUGCGUUUUUUCUUCUGAAAUUUGAGUUUAAAUCCAUUUGAUAAUCUAAUUAAAUUUCACGAAUAAAAGAAAAUAUCCAAUCAGACCUAAAAUUGAAUAUGAUCACAUGUAUUUAUGUAAAUCAAAUGGACUGAUCCUUUAUUCUUGAAUAAGUGAGCUGCAUGAAUGUUUCUGACUUCAGAUUUUGUGGUGGAUCAUAAUGGUGUAGGGUCGAAUUUGGUGGGUAAAGAAAAGCAUUUGUUCACAUGCAAAAGUCAGUAACCCAUUCAGUGAAGUGCUUGUGUUGGAGAAGGGUCACCCUUCCCUGGAUUUGGA
rnacentral:lncRNA from 1 species